UGGAAUCAUAACUAUUUUUCUUUUUAUUGUACAGCUUGAGAGGAGGAAUCACACAGAAUAUUGACCACAGUAAAAGAGGUGUGCAUAUUUCCAGCACAAUGAGCAACUACAUUCAAUAUCCAGCUCAGCCUGACAGGACUACGUUAAACCAGCAAAUGCCAACUACUGUGCAUCUGGCUUUGAGAGCAUAUACUUCUUUCCUAUACCCAUGAAAGCUAAGUCAUCACAUAAUAAAGAGUUCAAUAGCUUUUAUGCUGAAAGAAAUCAAAGAAAGAAAGAAAACUCCAUAAGCAAGUAUUAUUUGGAGGGAGUCAUAUUCCCACCAUUAAUCUGGAAAAAUUUAAAUCUCAUGAAGAGACAGAUGAGGUGUUCUUGAGCAGCUGGCCGAAGCUGUGUGACUGCCGGCCCUUGUCCUCAUGGGGGACUUCAGCUUCCCCAACAUAUGCUGGGAAUACAAUUUAGCACAGAAGAAGCAGUCUAGGAGGUUUCUGGAAUGUAUGGACAACAACUUCUUGAUGCAGAUGAUAAGAGAACCUAUGAGAGGAGCUGCCCCAUUAGACCUGCUGUUCACAAACAGAGAAGGUAUGGUGGGAGAUGUGGAGGUCGGGGGCUGUCUUGGGCAGAGCGACCAUGAAAUGGUAGAGUUCUCGAUUCUUGCUGGAGUCAGGAGAGGAAACAGCAAAACUGCUACCUUGGACUUCCGGAGGGCAGACUUUGAAUUGUUCAGGAGACUAGUAGGGGGAGUCCCCUGGGGUUCAGUCUUAGAGAGUAAGGGGGUACAAGAUGGCUGGUUGCUCUUCAAGAAGGAAGUCUUAAAGACGUAGGAGCAGGCUGUCCCCCUGAGCUGCAAAAUGAGCCGGAAUGGAAGAAGACUGGCAAGGAUGAAUAGGGAACUAUUCUUGAGACUCCAGGAGAAAAAGAGAAUCUAUCUCCUGUGGAACAGGGGACGGGCAACCCAGAAAGAAUACAAAGAAAUUGUUAAGAUGUGCAGGGAGAAAAUCAGAAAGGCAAAAGCCCAGCUUGAACUCAACCUGGCUACUGAGGUAAAAGGGAACAAGAAACUUUUACAAGUAUAUCAACAGUAAG
ensembl:lncRNA